GCACGGCUCCGGCCUCCCCCCCCCCUCUCGCUCCCGCUCUUCUCCUGCACGCGGCGGUUAGCUUACGCCGCCGCUGCGCGCGCCCUCCUUCCGAAGAAGACAAGCGACUGCAGAUCGGCGGUUCCAACGGAAACCUAAGAACCGGCCCACUUCGUAAACACGUGCAAGCCUCCCAUUCGCUGCCCGGCUUUCCCCUGCUUUGGAAAUGGCUGGCUGGCGUGCGUGCGACGCAGCGGUUUCCCUGUGGCUGGGCAGACUGCGAGGUGUUUUUUUUUUCUCUUCUCCCCAUAUUGGUUCAUAAAAUGACCUCAUUGCAUUUUCAGAUAUUUCCUGGGGAAAAAGAAUCAUUAUGAAUUUAUGUGUGCUUUGUUCAAUAUGUCAGCAUAUAAGCGUCCACAUUGAAGAGUACAGUAGGCAGAUGCUUGAUGACAGAUGACAAAGGAUUUUCACAGUGACUUAUAGUUAGUACAUACAAAAUAUGAACCAUUUGAAAAAGUGAUCACUGUCUUAUUAAUGGAAGGACAUAAGGUAAAGACAAUACUAGACAACACAGUAUCAACGGUAGAGACCUUCAAACUUCUAGGUUCUACCAUAUUGCAAGAUCGAAAAUGGACAUCUAACAUCAAAAACGUCAUCAAAAAAGGACAACAAAGAAUGUUCUUUCUGUGCCAACUCAGAAAGCUCAAACUGCCCAAGCAGCUGCUGAUCCAGUUCUACAGAGGAAUUAUUGAGUCUGUCAUCUGUACCUCUAUAAUUGUCUGUUUGGUUCUGCAACCCAACAAGACAGACACAGUCUUCAGAGGAUAAUUAGAACUGCAGAAAAAACAAUGGCUACCAACCUGCCUUCCACUGAGGACCUUUAUACUGCACGAGUUAAAAAGAGGGCUGUGAAAAUAUUUACAGACCCCGCACAUCCUGGACAUAAACUGUUUCAACGUCUACCCUCAAAACGUUGUUACAGAGCACUGCACACCAGAACAACUAGGCACAAAAACAGUUUCUUCCGGAAUGCCAUCACUCUGCUAAACAAAUAAUUCCCUCAACACUGUCAAACUAUUUACUAAAUCGGCACUAUUAUUAAUCUUCUCAUCGUUCCCAUCACCCAUCUCCUUCCACUUAUGAUUGUAUGACUGUAACUUUGUUGCUUGUAUCCUUACGAUUUAUAUUGAUAUUGAUUGUUUCCUGAUUGCAUAUUUUUACCCUAUGCCUAUCAUUAAGUAUUGUACCUUAGAAUUAUUGAUGAACAUAUCUUUUCUUUUAUGUACACUGAGAGCAUAUGCACCAAGACAAAUUCCUUGUGUGUCCAAUCACACUUGGCCAAUAAAAAAAAUCUAUUCAAUUUAAUUCUAUUCAAGAUAACUAUUUAGGUACUAUAAUCCCUAGCAUGAGUGCACCAUAGUAGAAGUGACUAGAAUAAUGCUAUGACUUUACAAUAAUGAAGAAUUGGAAAUUCUCCACUGGGAAUGAACAUAAUUUUAGAAUGUGGAUGGAGAAUAAAAAAAUAAAUUAGCUAUACAGUAGAUAUUGUAAGUAGAAUAUUUAGGAGACUCUUGUUGGUGGAUAGAUAAGGAACUAAGCUCCUACCCUGGAGUCAGAUCAGGCUGGUUAUCCCCAUAUGGAUAAGAGGCAGGUAGUGGUGAAUAGGUUGUUGAGCAUGAUGGUUGUGUGGCUGCUGAAUGAUUUAAUAGAAAACAGUCACAAGAAGAAUAUGUGAGUGUAAUGGGUAACAACAAAGGCACAAGAAUUCAAGAAUUGAGAGUAGAAAGAUGACUGUUUGCUGGUGAGAGUAGACAGAAAUUGGGAAAUAUAGUGGUGAAAAUGCUGCUUUUUAUGAAAAGGAAUGGAAAUCUGAGACCAAUCCUAUCUUCUGGCCUCAUCUUGGGGCCUAGGUUCCAGGGCUUGGCAAAAAAAAAACAAAAAAAAACAUGUAAAGUGAUGCUGAUUGUCAACAAAGAAUUAAGUUAGAACUAAGAUCUAACUAAACGUGGGUAAAGCUCAAGUUCAAGAAUGCUAAAUUACAUUGUAUUAGUAAUAAUGGUAAAAAAUCACUACUUCUCUUCACUUUAUCACUUUAUCUUUAUCUCAAAUUGCCACACAACAAUCUUUUUAAGGUUACCUGGAUCUUAUUAGAUAAUUAUGAGCUGGAGGAUAGGUUAGUAGCCACUAUGAUGAAUCUUUUGGAGGAUAAAAGUCAUACAGAUACACAUUUUCUCAGAGUUGAAUACUACCAGGACAUGUCCUAAUGAGCUAACAAUACUAGUGAGAAUAGGAAGAAAGGUAAUUAUGAACUGAUUUGAAUCAUGGCAAUUCCAAGGAAGUGGACAAGAUUUUCUGUGAUGUGGGAUCUGUCAUGUAUAGAUUACUUUUUUUAUCAAUGACAAAUGGUGAUGAGGUUAGGAAAGGAUUGAAAAAAUAGACAAACAUUAAAUACAAGCAUUUGACAUCUUGUCUCAUAAAUAGCAACUUAAUCCAAUUAAAAAUGUUUCAAAUCUAAGAGACUCUAAGAGAAACUCUUAAGAUACUUCAUCUUAAUCAACUCCCAGUCAAUGAGUCUAGGAAAUUUCUGUUACAGUUUCCAAGAUUCUAUAUACACCUGAAAUAACAUUAACAUUUCUUUACAGCAAUCUGUAGAUUUGCUUGCCAAUUGUAUGGGACUUGACGUUCGACCGUUUUGUUAGUGAAAACUACUGAGGACUAGACAGGAGGGUUACAGCAAAUGACAGUUAAAAUUACUGUCUCUUUCUCUCAUUUUCUUCUUGUAAGUUAUUAUAGUUUCUUUUUUCCCUCCUUAGUGAAUUUAUUGACAAUGGAAUGCCUCAAAAUUUCCCCCCAAAUAUCUAGCUGCCAAACGAUUCCUUUAGAACUCUCCACUGUCCAGCAUCUGAAUCUUUUUAACCCAACCCUGGCCAUCUCCUAAUAUUUCCACAUUCUCACAAGUUACUAUAGACUUUUUCUCCCAAUCUUGCUACACAUCCCAGGCUGGGAUCUUCAGACUUGGCAGGCUGUGUUGUUUUUCCACUCUACAUGAUGGUAACCGUAUGAUGUCCUCUCCAGAAACAGACCUGCAACAUCUGAAAUGUAACAUAUGCACACUACUCUCUUUCUCCUUUUUAUAUUCUAUAUUUAAAGCAUGUUUAUGUCACUGUACAGGUGCAUUCGUGUUCCUUUUUUUUUUCUUAUACAGGCUCUUGGCCUUGUGCUGAAUCAUCUAUUUUAUCUAAAAAAAGAAAUCUUUGACCUUGGCACAAACCCAGCCACUUCUCUCCAGUCGAGGACUUUACCCUUUCACAGUAUGUCCUUUUCUCAAGAAGCCAUUACUCAACCCUGUUAUUCUAAGUAACUGCUGGCCAGUCUCCAAAUUUCCCUUUUUAAGUGAGGAUGUAGAAAAAUGUAGAAAAACCAUUUUGGAGAGUCCUGGAAAAAGGAUUUUAUGGUCUCUUUCAAUAUGAUUUCAGCCUGGGAAUUAUACUGAUUUUGUAUUGGUCAGUCUUAUUGACAGGUUUUGUGGACUCCUCUGCUUCUGAGGCUGAAGAGAAGCACCUGGUGGAUUCUAGUAUCUGCAUGGCAAUGAAAUUUUUCUUCUUAAUUGAAAUAUAUCAUUAAUUGAUCUAGUAUAUUUUCAAUGUACAAAAUAUCAACAAGUAUCCCAUUAUCUGAAAGUGCGUCUAUAUUUAUACAUUUUAAAAACAAGUAAUAAAAAAUUCUUUAAGGUGGUUUUACCUCAACACAUUAUUCAUAAAAGAUCAGCUGAGUACAAAUUUGUGGCACAACAUUGAAACCAUAUGUUAUAUUGUGACCCAAUAGGGAUACAAAAUAGCAUAUUACUACUAAUAAAGAUGGUGAUGAAAUAAUUGCACUUUCAUACGCCUCUUACCAUGAUUUAGACAAGAGGGAAUUUAUAAGAAAGAAUACUGCAGAAUUAUUCUUUUGGUAAAAUAUCUUGUUCAAGGGCUUUCCUGUGACCAAAGGGAAUUGUCUUCCACUAUUGCAAUAGUAUGUAAUGUGUAGUUUCUGCAAACAACUGGAUUUUUAUCAAUCUAUAUGUACCAGUAAGCACAUAUGUAUCAAUCCAUAUGUACCAGUAAGAAAUUUCUGGAAAUAUUUCCCUAUUAAUUGAAUAAACAUUUUAAAUACCAACUGUCUCAACUUUUUAAAAUGUACAAAUCUAGCAGUUGUUUUGGUGUUUCCUGGUACACUUAGAUUUAAACGUGGUUAAUUUGGCUUAUCAUGCUGAGCAAAUGAACUGGUUAGCUCAAUUUAUUGCACAAAUCCUGAUAAUUGGUUAAUUCAUUACAUUGUGGGUCUUCCCCAUUGUCCACAUCAAUUUUCCUCUUUAUUUUGUGGUAAGGAAUUGGGUAAAUUAUAUAUUUUAAGCAAGCGAUAUAAACAGAGAACGAACCAUUUGUAGAGAAGCUGUGAAGAUAACAAUAGUAGUGUGAAGUUUGCUUAUGAUCUCCUAAACUGAAGCAACUCUUCAGAGAUUUCAUCAUCAUUUUAGAAUAGAAUAGAAUAGAAUUUUUUAUUGGCCAAGUGUGAUUGGACACACAAGGAAUUUGUCUUGGAGCGUAUGCUCUCAGUGUACAUAAAAGAAAAGAUACGUUCAUCAAGGUACAACAUUUACAACACAAUUGAUGAUCAAUAUAUCAAUAUAAAUCAUAAGGAUUGCCAGCAACAAGUUAUAGUCAUACAGUCAUAAGUGGAAAGAGAUUGGCGAUGGGAACUAUGAAACGAUUAAUAGUAGUGCAGAUUCAGUAAAUAGUCUGACAGUGUUGAGGGAAUUAUUUGUUUAGCAGAGUGAUGGCCUUCGGGAAAAAACUGUUCUUGUGUCUAGUUGUUCUGGUGUGCAGUGCUCUAUAGCGUCGUUUGGAGGGUAGGAGUUGAAACAGUUUAUGUCCAGGAUGCGAGGGAUCUGCAAAUAUUUUCACGGCCCUCUUCUUGAUUCGUGCAGUAUACAGGUCCUCAAUGGAAGGCAAGUUGGUAGCACUUAUUUUUUCUGCAGUUCUAAUUAUCCUCUGAAGUCUGUGUUUUUCUUGUUGGGUUGCAGAACCGAACCAGACAGUUAUAGAGGUGCAAAUGACAGACUCAAUAAUUCCUCUGUAGAAUUGGAUCAGCAGCUCCUUGGGCAGUUUGAGCUUACUGAGUUGGCGCAGAAAGAACAUUCUUUGUUGUCCUUUUUUUAAUGAUGUUUUUGAUGUUAGCUGUCCAUUUGAGAUCUUGCGAUAUGAUAGAACCCAGAAAUUUGAAGGUUUCUACUGUUGAUACUGUGUUGUCAAGUAUUGUGAGAGGUGGAAGUAUGGAAGGGUUUUUCCUAAAGUCUACCACCAUUUCUACGGUUUUGAGUGUGUUCAGUUCCAGGUACAUAAGGAACACUACCCAAGGUUCCCAUUGAAAGUGGGUUGGUUUAGGGGGGUCUCUGUUGAUUUGUUUAUUAUAUUUAUAUGUGGUAAAUUUACAUGGUAAAAAUAAAUAGAAAAGCUAUUUUUUUAAAACAAUGCACAAUAAAAAUGUAAAACUAUACAGAAAACCGAAACCAAGGAGACAGAUGGGGAAAAGAUAUUUUUACCCUAUUAGAAGGUCUAUUAGUAGGGUCCUUCUGACAGACAAACCUGUCAGCCUAUUUUAUAUAAUAUUGAGGUCAUUCAGACCCUCAGAAUAAAGUAUUAGCCAUAUGUUUAUGAUACCUAACUGUACUGCACUCUAUAAUUGACCUCCAAGGAGUAAUCCAUAUUUUUUAACAUAGUCUAAUUUUGACAAGGGACUAUAUGAUAGCAAACUAACUAAAAUUAAAUGAAGAAAAAUGAUAUAUUGUUGAUAAGGAGAAAAAUGAACCAAAUUAAGGAUAAUUUUAUAUUGGAAAGAUCCUUGAUUUCAUGUAUUGGAUUACAACUAUCAGCUGUAAUAAAGAAUGUGGUUAACCAGCUGUGAUUACUAUACCAACUGUAACCCUUUCAGAGUUAGCCAGACUUGGUGACAUUGAUUUAUGCUUUGGUUUUGACAACUGCAAGACACUUGAUAAUGGAACUAUAUUUAAAAGAUGUCUGUAUAUUGCAGUCAAUAGAAAAUACGUACCUGACUUAUAAUUACUGCAAAGUACA